rnacentral:lncRNA from 1 species
GAUUUCACAAAACAGUCAAGAGUAAUCACACCCACUUCAUUAAAACCUUGAUUCACUAGUACAACACAUCGACCUCUUAGCAUUGAUCGCGAGAAGUCUUCCCAAAACCCUAUGAAGAAGAAAAAAACCCCAAUUCUUUGUUUUUUUCCUCCCCCCCCCCCCUUCUCUCGAAGCAUGAAGCUAGCUCUCCGACCCUUUAAAAACCCUGAUUCUCCCCCUUUCAUUUCUUAACCUAUCCUCCCCUUUAAUCCUAAUUCUUCCCCCUCUCAAACCCUAGCCUCUCAUCUUAACUUUAGUCUUGGAUCCAGAAUUGGCUCCGCUGUUAGAGCUUUCUCUUCCAUUUAUUUUCCUUUUAAAAGGUCGUUUUACCAAAAGGACGUUCUCAGAAUGGUACAAAGAACGGAAUACCUUGAAACGGAAUUGGAGCCCCGUAUUUGGACCGCAUUGGGUUGCCCGACCAAGUCAGGUCUCAUAUUGGGUAAGAGACCCGUAAUAGGACCUGGAUUGGAUGUCUUGAAAUUGGAUCCAAUUGGCUCUUCGAACCAGGCUCACCCGUCGUUGAAUUGGUCCAUUCCCUUUCUGCUAACUCCCGUUAUUGGAAUCGAAUAGAGCAUUUCAAUAUGCCCCGGUUGACUGUAACGGGGUGACUGAAACUGGCCUCUCAGUAUUUACAUUGGAAUUGGUUGUUGCUCUCAAUAUUCGACGUAACUGAAUAUUAAUAAAAGUCCACUUUCUUUAUAUUUUCAUGAUAUACUUGUGUUACAACACGACAUCCAUCCCCUCUGAACCUGUGCAUCCUCCGGUAUGCACCAAUUUACUUAACUGCUGUUUGAUUUAUAAUAUAUUUUCUACGUCUUUGUUCAGUUCAUCUUUGUCACCUUCAUUAUCCAAAUCCUUUUCAUCUUCUUACUGCGUACCUAACUUGCAUAAUUCUCUUUCACUAUUAUAUAAUCUUUUUCUUUCUUUUCUUUUAAAAUCAUCAACUUUCUUAUACAUAAUAUUUCCAUUCUCCAAAAUAUCAAUAAAACUCGCAUUAAAGGUACCUUUAUCUUGCGAGAGUACCUCCUCUUUUGUACCUCCAUAAUCUCGCUUUAUAGUGGUACCUCUCGAAAAUCCUUAAAUCCUUCAACAAUUUUUAGCAAUGGUUUUUCCCUCAAUCUAUCUCGAUUCCGUUCAUGGUAAGGAAGUACUGAUAGAAAUUGUACAGCUUUCCUCCCAUCUUUGCUAUGUACCCUUGCAUAAGCAGAACCAUUGUCAAGUUCUUUUGUUUUCAUCCGUGUUGUCAUAAUAUAAGGUUGACCUAAAAUCAACGGAUAAGACGUUGUAUCUUGAACAAAGAAAUGUUCCUCCAUCGCAACAUCCCCAAUCCGAAUUUCGACAUCUGGACAAGCUCCAUAUAAUUCACCCCAUGUGUUAUUAGCUGCUCGUAUUGUCAAUCCAUGUUCCAUAUCAAUUGGCCAUUUUUGCUUCUUAUAAAGAUCUUUAGAUAUAAGAUUUAUUUCAGAACCAUGGUCGACUAAAGCAACAAUUGGUUCUUCUAUAUCUCCUACUUUCACCAAUACCUCAAUAGUUGCCAUUGUCCAAUGCUUUCGAGUAUAAUGGCUCAAAGUUUCCAUUUCCUUAUCACUAUAAUCUUCGAAAUGUACUCGUUGAUUAUACUCAUUCCUUUCAUUUGUUGGUUGCUUGUAACGAAUAUCAACUUCUUCUUCAUCUUUAUAUAUUCUUGCAUCAAUAGUAUGACUCAUUCCAGUUUCGUCCAUUAAUUACCUCUUUCGCUUAAUGCUAUCAAUGAUAACAUCAUGAAAUUCUUUCUUUGCAAUUCCCAAAACUUCUUUCAAUGUGAAUUCCACCUUAGCGUUUAAUAUACGUUCUUCCAACACUCAUUUCAAAUUUGUAACCACUUUAAUGUCAGAAAGUAGCUUAUAAGCAACUGAUUUGCCCUUAUCUUUUGUCUCCCUUGUUUUUUCUUCUGAUGAUGUUGGGGGAUCCUUUACAUGCAAUUCUUGUGAAGCUGCCUCUUCAGCCUUGUCUCCUCGAGUUUGCCUCUUAGAAGAAUUUCCUUCUCUAGUAUCAUCAAAAUUUCCUCGUCUCUUUUCUUCCAUCAAAUCUUCAUGUUGGCUCUUAGCAAUAUAUGCAUGAAUAGAAGGAGACUCAAUUGGAUUCUCCCAACCUGUUGCACCUCGUAUUGUAGCUGCAGUCCUCAAUAACGCUUCUCAAGGUAAUUUCCCUUCUUGCAUUGCAGAAAUGGCAGAAGCCCAAAACUCACUAGUUUUCGUACUUCCACCAAGGUCAUCAUCUGUUCUAGCACCAUAACUUGCAUUUUCUCGUGCUAUUGUUUCAUGCUCUUUUAAGUAAUCUUAAACCAAUGCUCUCAUUCUUUCCUUGCCAAAAUUGGUUUGAAGAAGAACCUCCCUAUCUUUUAAUGCUAUCUUCCCAUCUUUCUAGUAAAUAAUUCCUUGCCGUAUCAUAUUAUUAAAUCCAUUACAAUCUUUCCUAGUGUAUGAAGCGUCAUCACACCAAAUACAUCUUUGUACAUAUCCUUGUUUUGAAACAUUUUUCAAAUUGUUUGUAGAAGUAUUCUCUUCAAGUCUUGCCAAUUUGAUUUGAAGAUCUCGUAUUCCUUGUAUAAUUUUUUCCAUCUCCAUAUCUGCUUUCUUUGAUAAAGAUGUCGAAGGUUGAACUGUAGGCAUUGUUGGUGGUGUUGUACGUAUUGGAGCUUUGGAUGCUUGUACUGUUUUCGAAAUAUUGCUCCUAUCCUUUCUCCUUUCUCUUUUUGCAAGCAAUCCCACCGCAUCUUCAACAUUCUUCCACUUUGUUGUCAAUCCUUCAUCUUCUUCUUUGUCUUCAAGAAAGAGUUCUAAUUUCCCUUACAAUUCUCCAUUAGCAGCUUGAAGAAAUAGAUCAACUUUGUUCGGCUCCAAUGUCAAUUUUUCUACCUUCGAUAAUUGAGAGUACUGCCUCUCAAAUUCCCUUAGUAGCUCUGUUGCUUGUAAAUUCUUAUUAGGCUGUUCAAUCCAUUCCAAAAAUAGCUUCUUAGUAAUGCGAUCAGCAUCUUCCAAGAAAUAUUUGUCUUUCAAUGCAUAUGAAAAAACCUCCCAUGAAUUCCCAUAACGAUCCAUAAUCGAUGUAAUAUGGUCUCUUAUCUCUGAUAUCGUGGCAAGUCCAAAUAAUUCAACCAUUUUCUUCUCAAAAACCCGAUUUAAUUCUAUUUCAUGAACAUAACAUCUUAAAUACCUUGAAAUAUUCCUUCCAUCAAAUUGAUCAAUUUUAUUGACCACUGCUUGCAAUGCUUUGGUUGCCAAAGCUUCUUUUCAAUUAUUACUUUGUUGUUGCUGCAUUGAUAAUGAGAAGGCUUGAAACAUACUAGCAAUAGACGGAUCCAUGUGUAUACCUUGUCCUUUAGAAGAACCCCCACCAGAAACUCCUCCCAAAGUUCCUUCAAAAUUUUUAUCUUCGUUCUCCAUAAAAAUAAAAAUAAAAUCAAACGAAAUCUAAUACCUUCCACCUCAAGCUUUCACGUCGGAUUCACCACUUAUGUCGUAUUACGUGCUUUCCUGCUUGAGAACGCGCCGGGCGUCUGGCAUUAGGAGGGAGCAUGGAGAUUCGCUAAUAUUCAAGCAGUGUAUCAAUUUUUGACUAUUGGAAUAUAAAUAAUUGUAAGAAUAUACCAUAAAUCUAUACGGAUGUCCUUCGACUGCUCACCGAAAUCCUUUUUGCUCCAAUCGGUAGGUCUCUAGACGUUACAGAGAACCGCGAACAAUCCGAUCUGUUAAUCUCGGAUACCACUCUAUACUCACGACCUUGUAUUCACUAACUGUCUUGUUAGAUUAACCCAAAAAAUUUCAUUCACUCUGCAUACUCAAUCCUAUAGACACCCUUUUAAUUCUUCAAUCACAGACGUAACUUCAAUUUUACAAAACAAUCAAAGUAAUCACAUCCACUUCAUUAAAACCUUCAUUCACUAGUACAACACAUCGACCUCUUAGCAUUGAUCGCGAGAAGUCUUCCCAAAACCCUAUGAAGAAAAAAAAAAUCCAAAUUCUCUGUCUUCCUCCCCUCCCUCCCCCCCCCUAAAGCAUGAAGCUAGCUCUCCGAUCCUUUAAAAACCCUGAUUCUUCCCCCUUCAUUUCUUAACCUAUCUUCCCCUUUAUUCCUAAUUCUUCCCCCUC